rnacentral:rRNA from 1 species
UACGGAGGGGGCUAGCGUUGUUCGGAAUUACUGGGCGUAAAGCGCACGUAGGCGGCUUUGCAAGUUAGAGGUGAAAGCCCGGGGCUCAACCCCGGAAUUGCCUUUAAAACUGCAUCGCUAGAAUUGUGGAGAGGUAAGUGGAAUUCCGAGUGUAGAGGUGAAAUUCGUAGAUAUUCGGAAGAACACCAGUGGCGAAGGCGACCUACUGGACACAUAUUGACGCUGAGGUGCGAAAGCGUGGGGAGCAAACAGG